AAGCCCUCAAUCGACAUCGACUUUCAUCCACAACUACAAUGAGGAUUAGGCAAGUGUUGCGCACGGCUGUUACCCUUAUGCUGGUGAUAUCCUCAUCCGGCAUGGCGACGCAACCAGUUCAGAGACGAACCACGAGACGAAUUCGGCCAUCGGGGACGGGUCAUGCGGUGCUAACCAGUGCAUGGCGUACUGCCAAAGCAAGUAGCAAGGGGCAGGCACGUGUUCUCCGAAGGGAUGGAAGUGCUCGCUCUUCAAGGAUAUUCAUCCCCCGAGGAACUAGAUAUAGCUAGUUGCAUCGCAUACCAUGUAUAAAGUUUUUUCGUGCAAGAAAUUCCAACUAAAUAAAUAAGGAAAAAAUGUUUCCUUUUGGAAAAUCAAAUUAAUUUGUUGCUCUUGCACAUGGUACCAUCGCUGUAUUUUUGUGGCGUAAUUGUAGAAGUGGCCAUGCAUCCUGUGAGUUUCACCGAUUAUCUCCUUUCCGUUUUCCAGCAAUAAC